UGCAAGUCGAGCGAGGCGUGUAGCAAUACACAGUCGAGCGGCGAACGGGUGAGUAACGCGUGGAUUAUCUGCCCUGAGGUGGGGGAUAACCCGGGGAAACUCGGGCUAAUACCGCAUAUGACCGUGAGGUCAAAGGGGGGUCGCAAGAUCUCUCGCCAUAGGAGGAGUCCGCGUUCGAUUAGCUAGUUGGUAGGGUAAUGGCCUACCAAGGCGACGAUCGAUAGCCGGCCUGAGAGGGUGAUCGGCCACACUGGAACUGAGACACGGUCCAGACUCCUACGGGAGGCAGCAGUGGGGAAUUUUGCGCAAUGGGCUAACGCCUGACGCAGCAACGCCGCGUGGAGGAUGAAGGUCCUUGGAUUGUAAACUCCUGUCAGCAGGGAAAAAGCGACUUGGCCUCAUACGCCAGGGAGUUGAUUGUACCUGCAGAGGAAGCCCCGGCUAACUCUGUGCCAGCAGCCGCGGUAAUACAGAGGGGGCAAGCGUUAUUCGGAAUUAUUGGGCGUAAAGGGCGCGUAGGCGGCUUG
rnacentral:rRNA from 1 species